CAUGGUAAAUUUGAAUUUCGCCAUUAUUCUCUAGAGAUAGGUCAAAAAAACAACUGUUUCUUUUCUCAUUCCACUGUUAAUAAAUUAAAAGCUUGCUGUACAAAGGCAACAGCAACUUAAAAUCUGGGCAAUAGAUGUGGACUCCAAAGGGCCACUGCUAUCCCUUCCUGUGUGCUCUUUUUGACAAGUAAAUCACUCCAGUUAGCUGAUGUCCUGAAAUGACGUUUGUCCACCGCGCCCGGCCGAGGCAAUUCUUAUUAGCGCUUACUCAGGACUUUUCAAACAUCAGGACACAUGUAGCAAUUUGGAUGUUGUAAAACUACGUGUUACAUUUCGUGUUACAUUUGGAGAGGUCUGGUUGAGAAGGCAAAAUGUUCUAAAUAUUUUGAUAUCAAUUUGGGUAAAGGAAAACUUUUGUUAGAAUGAGAAUUAAAGAGAAAACAAAAGAACUUUGGCAAAAUUUUCCCUCUGAAAUUACAAACUUUAGUAACUUUUCCAGAUGUAUCGAAUUUAAUUUUACAGUGAUGUCACUCUUCAUACCAAGUGAAUCUAUUCUCAUGACCUUUGAACCCAUGUUAAUUUUGGACCCUAUAACUAAUUUCCUUUCUAAAUCCCAUGGUGGUCAAAGCAGUAAAGGAGUUUAGAGAUACUUAGCCAAUGCCAGUCAUAUAGUAUUGUUAGCCAAACUAUUAUUCCUUCCUUAGAAGUUGAUGUAUCAGAAAAUUUAUAAAUUAUUUGUGUUUAUAUAUAAGUACAUCAGAACUUGCCCAAAUGAUAACUCAUGUUUGCUUUAAUAAGGAGAAUAUGUUAUUUGAGGUUAAUUAUAUGAUAAUAAGGAACAUUUUAUAAUUAUUUACAGUGUUUGACAUUAAUCGCUGUCCUAUGAUAUAGUAGUAAUGUUAAUAGAGAGUUUAAUAUGUUUAGCAUUAUCUUUAUGGAAUUUAUAUUCACCAAUUUCAGGAAAACCAGCCAUAGAACUUUAUAAUAGGACAGCUGUAACCUGACUGAACCAAAUCCACCAGCAUAAUGACUGUGUGUUGUGAGAAAUGCAAAAACUUUAUGAAAGUGUGGUCAUCUUGACCCCCACAGAACCACAGUAGCCAUCAAUUAUUGAGAUUUUUAAAUGGUAAAUAUUGCAAAAGUUAAACAAGGGUAUCAUGAUAUCAUUUAUAAUAAAUGUCAAUAUUGGUAGUCCACUUUAUGCUUAAACAAAAUCAUACAAAAUUAAGUUUUAAGGUUAUAUUUUUUAAAAUAAUGAAUUUUCUAUCUCUGGGCAACAUGUCUUUAUUAUUCAGGCUGAAUGUUUAAGAGAGAUUUUGGUCUUCAAGGCUUCACGUCAUGAAAGUGUACAUGCAUAUGCAAGUGUGAAUCACAUGGUAUGGAUGGUUGCUUGUUUAUUAACUAAAGAUGUACAGCAAACUGCCCUUUUAGAGUCCUGUUAAUAUUGAUGUCCUAACACUGGGUCUGCUAGUUCAGUAUUUAGUCUAGGCUUCAUUUUGAUAUGACUGAAUUGCAAUCUAUAUUUUUAAAAAGAAAAAAUCAAAAUGCAUUAGGAUUUACGUGGUUGUGGCAAACAAACAAACAAUGCUUUCGGUGUUGAAAUAUCUCUAUUUUCCAAAGAUGAUAAACUUUCAUCAUUAUUAGUCUACAUUGUCAUUUAUAUCACCAAAUGAGUUUAUAGAUUAAUGCAAUAAACUUUCUAAUAAAAAA